rnacentral:rRNA from 1 species
UGCUCUAGGAAAUUAUCUAGGGUUUUCCCUGCUCAAUGAUAAAUUUUAAUAGCCGCAGUACUUUGACUGUGCAAAGGUAGCAUAAUAAGUUGGCUUAUAAUUGAAGUCUAGUAUGAAUGGGUGUCCGGGUAAUUUCUGUCUCAUAUAUAUAAAUAAAAGUUACUUAGUAAGUGAAAAUUCUUACUUGAAAGACGAAAGACGAGAAGACCCUCGAAAUUUUUUAAAUUUUUUUUUCUAAACUAUUUUGUUGGGGCKACAAAGUAACAUAUAAACUUACUUUAUAAACAAGAUACUUCUUAGUAGAAAGAAUAAAUUACUCUAGGGAUAACAGCAUUAUUUAUUAAUAAGUUUGUGACCUCGAUGUUGGACUAGGAAAAAAUUUACUUAGAAGGUACAUUUAUUGGCUCUGUUCGAGCUAUAUCUCCUAC